rnacentral:lncRNA from 1 species
CCGGAUGUGCUGACCCCUGCGAUUUCCCCAAAUGCGGGAAACUCGACUGCAUAAUUUGUGGUAGUGGGGGACUGCGUUCGCGCUCUCCCCUGGUCUUCUCGGUUGAAAAUAAGACUCAGUUGUAGUUUCUUUUGGUCUGCAGCCAGAUGCAAGGUGUCUCUUAUGCCUAGCACUUGCUACGGCGGUAACACUCAACUCAGUUUGAUGGUAAGGUAACUUGUGAUGAGGUGGUUGAAAAGACUGCUACGGGGUGGGGUGGACCCCGAGAAGGAAAUCAUGGGGUUUUGGGUGAGCGAGACUUAAAUCAGGGUGUUAUUAACGACCCUUUCCUGCCUGUUUAAGUCCUAAGUUUAGACAAGUUAGUCUUGAAAGAAAAACAAAACAUCUUGGGCCACAAAUUGCAGCUAAUUACUACACAGUUGACUGACAGGUUACAGAGUCUUGUCCCGUUCCCCCGGGCUGGGAAUCUUUACAACCGGCAACUAGCAAAAAAUGGAUAGUCACCUCUUCUAUGAGAGCAACCAGGCUCCAGUCGUGGUAUUCCUGAUUUAAGGAGUUAAUUUUUGAUCCAGUUUAAUCCCAGCAGCACUCACGCGGUGCAGCAUCGCCGAGUUCACGCCUGAAAGGGGGGGGUGGGGGUGGAGAAAGUAAGAUCUGGCUUUUGCAAGGCUUUUUUUCCUUUUCAUUUAUCUUCUCUCCUCUUCCUUUUUCUUCCUCUCUCUUCUCUGUAUAGCACUGGCUACACACUCAGGACCAGGUUGGUCCAGAAAGAUUUGCCGGCCUCUGCAGACAUCCUGAGAGCCACCCACCGCACACCACUAGGGAUUGUCUGUCGGUCUUGUCAGUGGCAAACGGCUCCUCUGACAUCUACUGUCGUGAGAUGGCUUUUCCUAAUAUACCAACCGAAAUGUUGGUACGAUAAAGCACAGUGCCCUGCACGUUUUUUCUUUCAGACCAAGAAAAACCAGGGGAGAGCGCGAACGCAGUCCCCCACUACCACAAAUUAUGCAGUCGAGUUUCCCGCAUUUGGGGAAAUCGCAGGGGAGAUACCAUGAUCACGAAGGUGGUUUUCCCAGGGCGAGGCUUAUCCAUUGCACUCCGGAUGUGCUGACCCCUGCGAUUUCCCCAAAUGCGGGAAACUCGACUGCAUAAUUUGUGGUAGUGGGGGACUGCGUUCGCGCUCUCCCCUGGUUUUUCUUGGUCUGAAAGAAAGAACGUGCAGGGCACUCUGUGCUUUAUCGUACUAACAUUCGGUUGGAUAUUAGGAGCCAUCUCACGACAGUAGAUGUCAGAGGAGCCGUUUGCCACUGACAAGACGACAGACAAUCCCUAGUGGUGUGCGGUGGGUGGCUCUCAGGAUGUCUGCAGAGGCCGGCAAAUCUUUCUGGACCAACCUGGUCCUGAGUGUGUAGCCAGUGCUAUACAGAGAAGAGAGAGGAAGAAAAAGGAAGAGGAGAGAAGAUAAAUGAAAAGGAAAAAAAGCCUUGCAAAAGCCAGAUCUUACUUUCUCCACCCCCACCCCCCCCUUUCAGGCGUGAACUCGGCGAUGCUGCACCGCGUGAGUGCUGCUGGGAUUAAACUGGAUCAAAAAUUAACUCCUUAAAUCAGGAAUACCACGACUGGAGCCUGGUUGCUCUCAUAGAAGAGGUGACUAUCCAUUUUUUGCUAGUUGCCGGUUGUAAAGAUUCCCAGCCCGGGGGAACGGGACAAGACUCUGUAACCUGUCAGUCAACUGUGUAGUAAUUAGCUGCAAUUUGUGGCCCAAGAUGUUUUGUUUUUCUUUCAAGACUAACUUGUCUAAACUUAGGACUUAAACAGGCAGGAAAGGGUCGUUAAUAACACCCUGAUUUAAGUCUCGCUCACCCAAAACCCCAUGAUUUCCUUCUCGGGGUCCACCCCACCCCGUAGCAGUCUUUUCAACCACCUCAUCACAAGUUACCUUACCAUCAAACUGAGUUGAGUGUUACCGCCGUAGCAAGUGCUAGGCAUAAGAGACACCUUGCAUCUGGCUGCUGACCGGAAGAAGCUACAACUGAGUCUUAUUUUCAACCGAGA